rnacentral:rRNA from 1 species
GGUGAAAAGCACCCCGGAAGGGGAGUGAAAUAGAACCUGAAACCGUGUGCUUACAAGUAGUCAGAGCCCGUUAAUGGGUGAUGGCGUGCCUUUUGUAGAAUGAACCGGCGAGUUACGAUUUGAUGCAAGGUUAAGCAGUAAAUGUGGAGCCGUAGCGAAAGCGAGUCUGAAUAGGGCGUUUAGUAUUUGGUCGUAGACCCGAAACCAGGUGAUCUACCCUUGGUCAGGUUGAAGUUCAGGUAACACUGAAUGGAGGACCGAACCGACUUACGUUGAAAAGUGAGCGGAUGAACUGAGGGUAGCGGAGAAAUUCCAAUCGAACCUGGAGAUAGCUGGUUCUCUCCGAAAUAGCUUUAGGGCUAGCCUCAAGUGAUGAUUAUUGGAGGUAGAGCACUGUUUGGACGAGGGGCCCCUCUCGGGUUACCGAAUUCAGACAAACUCCGAAUGCCAAUUAAUUUAACUUGGGAGUCAGAACAUGGGUGAUAAGGUCCGUGUUCGAAAGGGAAACAGCCCAGACCACCAGCUAAGGUCCCAAAAUAUAUGUUAAGUGGAAAAGGAUGUGGCGUUGCCCAGACAACUAGGAUGUUGGCUUAGAAGCAGCCAUCAUUUAAAGAGUGCGUAAUAGCUCACUAGUCGAGUGACACUGCGCCGAAAAUGUACCGGGGCUAAACAUAUUACCGAAGCUGUGGAUUGUCCUUUGGACAAUGGUAGGAGAGCGUUCUAAGGGCGUUGAAGCAUGAUCGUAAGGACAUGUGGAGCGCUUAGAAGUGAGAAUGCCGGUGUGAGUAGCGAAAGACGGGUGAGAAUCCCGUCCACCGAUUGACUAAGGUUUCCAGAGGAAGGCUCGUCCGCUCUGGGUUAGUCGGGUCCUAAGCUGAGGCCGACAGGCGUAGGCGAUGGAUAACAGGUUGAUAUUCCUGUACCACCUAUAAUCGUUUUAAUCGAUGGGGGGACGCAGUAGGAUAGGCGAAGCGUGCGAUUGGAUUGCACGUCUAAGCAGUAAGGCUGAGUAUUAGGCAAAUCCGGUACUCAUUAAGGCUGAGCUGUGAUGGGGAGAAGACAUUGUGUCUUCGAGUCGUUGAUUUCACACUGCCGAGAAAAGCCUCUAGAUAGAAAAUAGGUGCCCGUACCGCAAACCGACACAGGUAGUCAAGAUGAGAAUUCUAAGGUGAGCGAGCGAACUCUCGUUAAGGAACUCGGCAAAAUGACCCCGUAACUUCGGGAGAAGGGGUGCUCUUUAGGGUUAACGCCCAGAAGAGCCGCAGUGAAUAGGCCCAAGCGACUGUUUAUCAAAAACACAGGUCUCUGCUAAACCGUAAGGUGAUGUAUAGGGGCUGACGCCUGCCCGGUGCUGGAAGGUUAAGAGGAGUGGUUAGCUUCUGCGAAGCUACGAAUCGAAGCCCCAGUAAACGGCGGCCGUAACUAUAACGGUCCUAAGGUAGCGAAAUUCCUUGUCGGGUAAGUUCCGACCCGCACGAAAGGCGUAACGAUUUGGGCACUGUCUCAACGAGAGACUCGGUGAAAUCAUAGUACCUGUGAAGAUGCAGGUUACCCGCGACAGGACGGAAAGACCCCGUGGAGCUUUACUGUAGCCUGAUAUUGAAAUUCGGCACAGCUUGUACAGGAUAGGUAGGAGCCUUUGAAACGUGAGCGCUAGCUUACGUGGAGGCGCUGGUGGGAUACUACCCUAGCUGUGUUGGCUUUCUAACCCGCACCACUUAUCGUGGUGGGAGACAGUGUCAGGCGGGCAGUUUGACUGGGGCGGUCGCCUCCUAAAAGGUAACGGAGGCGCUCAAAGGUUCCCUCAGAAUGGUUGGAAAUCAUUCAUAGAGUGUAAAGGCAUAAGGGAGCUUGACUGCGAGACCUACAAGUCGAGCAGGGUCGAAAGACGGACUUAGUGAUCCGGUGGUUCCGCAUGGAAGGGCCAUCGCUCAACGGAUAAAAGCUACCCCGGGGAUAACAGGCUUAUCUCCCCCAAGAGUUCACAUCGACGGGGAGGUUUGGCACCUCGAUGUCGGCUCAUCGCAUCCUGGGGCUGUAGUCGGUCCCAAGGGUUGGGCUGUUCGCCCAUUAAAGCGGUACGCGAGCUGGGUUCAGAACGUCGUGAGACAGUUCGGUCCCUAUCCGUCGUGGGCGUAGGAAAUUUGAGAGGAGCUGUCCUUAGUACGAGAGGACCGGGAUGGACAUACCUCUGGUGUACCAGUUGUCGUGCCAACGGCAUAGCUGGGUAGCUAUGUGUGGACGGGAUAAGUGCUGAAAGCAUCUAAGCAUGAAGCCCCCCUCAAGAUGAGAUUUCCCAACUUCGGUU